UCCAACAGCACGAAAUGUGCAAAGUUGGCUGCGCAUGUUAAUGUAAGAUGGCGGCUCUGUAAGCUAUUUACACAAAUGCAUAAAAACAAACAAAAUUUUGUUACCAAUUACCCAUAGGACUAAAUAUUAUUAAGACUUGUUAAUCAAUACAAAUAUCGUUCUGCAGCCGUUGUAAUAAAAUCUGCAAAUAUAUAGUGCAUUAUCAGCCGCAGCCAGGUUCAAUCCAGAAGCUGUUAACGUAACAGCUGAUCUAACAGCUUCAUUUAUCGUGUCGCAUCCCUAGCUUGCUCUGUGAAAUUCGCGUAGUUUUAAGAAAAUAAACUAAUAAAAUGCCAUUGCUUCACUCCAUCGUUAUCAUCAUCGAUACACACAUGCAGACGUAGACGAAUUCGCGGGAUGUGUGCCACAGCAGCCACUUUUAUUGAUGCGCACUGAAAUUUUAGAGAUGCUAGUCCAACGAAUCGCACUAUCCGUCAUAGCUUGGUCCUUGGAAGAGUCUCAUGUCGACCAUCAAUCAAUGUCGGCAGCCUCGUGCCAUGUGGAGACACUUAUACGCUAUCACAAGAGACACCCUGGGACACGGACAAAGCUGGGGAAAUAGAAGAGGAUAAUUCACUUAUGCCCGACUGUGCGUCAAUCCACUUACGUGCCUCCGAUGGGACUAAGCUUCGGAUGUAUCACAUUUGCCAGCAGCCUGCUGCGAGGCCAAAAGUUCAGCGAGGCGCUGGUGGUGGCUACGCUGAUAGGCCAACACUUUUUUACGGUUGGUCAGCUUGGUGCGAUGACGCUCCUGCAGGGAUAGAUUGUCCAGAGGCGCAUUCAAGUUCGACAAGCCAUCGAAAGUAUCAAAGUCUGCAGUUGGAAUUCGAUCCCAUUCGGGAGCUGGAAUCGGAGUCUUAUUUGCGAAGGUAACUUCAGUGACGGUUCGAAUAAAAAGCUAACUUGUUCCUA